CUUCAUACUUUUGGGAUAUAUCUUUGAUUUCACUAAUGCUUUCCGGGUUUACUAGUUUUUCACUGCUGUAGUAUAUUUAUUUAUUACCUCAUCGCUAAUAACGAUGCUCCAGUGGACGAUUAUACUGACAAUUUUAGGUGCCGGCGUUGACGCUUUAAAAUGCCACACGCAUCGCACUACGAAGUCGGAGUGGGAUUACACCGACACGUACACAGCCACAUGCCAACCGGACGAAAUAUGCCGGACAGAAUUAACGCGGAUUUCCUUUUGCGACAUCGAAGUCACCUCCCGAGGAUGCGCAAAGCGGAGCGAUGGCACUAAUCUCGGAUGUAGCAUAACCCGGAAGAACCUGGCAAUGACGUGCUUCUGUGAUACCGAUAAAUGUAACGGAAACAACAAACACGGCUUCCCCGAGUUUUUGAAUCUUAUGCAGAAUUUUAGUCCGCGGUUACAUUUAAAAUCGUACGGUGCUUAUAGCAUGAUAAUAAUUGCUCUGAUUCUGGUAUUUUGUGGAAGCUAAAAACCGUCUUUCUUACGCUUCAUGAACAAUUAUGUAAAAUAUAUGGCGCUAUUUGUUACAGAA